GCAGCGUGCCAGACCUCCUCAACAGUGGAACCUCGACUACACUCUUGGUCCCUUUGAAGGACUGACCCCCGAGUACAUGGAGAUGAUUAUCCAGUUUGGUUUUGUGUCUCUGUUUGUCGCGUCGUUCCCUCUGGCUCCUCUCUUCGCUCUCCUCAACAACGUGAUCGAGAUCCGCCUCGAUGCCAAGAAGUUUGUCACCGAGCUGCGACGACCGGACGCUGUCCAAGCCAAAGACAUCGGAAUCUGGUACAACAUCCUGAGUGAAUGGGAAAGUUCUCUGUCAUUAUAAAUG